rnacentral:lncRNA from 1 species
CCGGUGUCCGCUGGCAGCCUCGAGCUGGGGGCGCGCUCUGUCCCGCGGUGCAGUCGCGCCGUAUAGCAGGGCGGCCUUGGGGCUCUGAGGCCCAACCGGCGAAAGAAGUAGACUCGGCCCUAACCAUCUCGACGCUACAAUUUUUGUUUCUGGAUCUCUGAACUGGGGAGUGAGUGCUGUGGAGUGAGGGGGAAAUAAGAUAAACAUGAGACCUGGCCCAGUAGACGCGUUUUCAGUUCUUGCUGACCUGCGGUCUCGGCUUGGAGCGCUGGGGGAGAGGGCGGAGUCCCCCGGCAGAGGUGAAGCGGGAGCUGCUUUCUGGCAGCGUUUCCAGCCUGGAAGGAGUUGUGCUCUGUAAUGCUUUUCUGAAUUGCAUUCGGCGAAAGGAGUAGGAAACUGCGUUUAUUCCUUCACCAGAUUUGAGGGCAUCUGCUGCGUGCCAGGCUGCCUGGCAUUGGGGGCUGUUUAUGAUUUUCUUUUCCUCUUUUUCUCAUUUCUUCCCCCCCACUGACGAAUAAGUAGAAAUAAGUGAGGAUUUAACUGUGAGCCUCUA